CAGUAGCCGCGGUAAAACGAAGGGGGCUAGCGUUGUUCGGAUUUACUGGGCGUAAAGGGUGCGUAGGCGGAUUGUUAAGUCAGGGGUGAAAUCCCGAGGCUCAACCUCGGAACUGCCUUUGAUACUGGCGAUCUUGAGUCCGGGAGAGGUGAGUGGAACUGCGAGUGUAGAGGUGAAAUUCGUAGAUAUUCGCAAGAACACCUGUGGCGAAGGCGGCUCACUGGCCCGGAACUGACGCUGAGGCACGAAAGCGUGGGGAGCAAACAGGAUUAGAUACCCCGGUAGUCCCUGUCUCUUAUAC
rnacentral:rRNA from 1 species